rnacentral:rRNA from 1 species
GAUGAACGCUGGCGGCGUGCCUAAUACAUGCAAGUCGAGCGAACGGACGAGAAGCUUGCUUUUCUGAUGUUAGCGGCGGACGGGUGAGUAACACGUGGAUAACCUACCUAUAAGACUGGGAUCACUUCGGGAAACCGGAGCUAAUACCGGAUAAUAUUUUGAACCGCAUGGUUCAAAAGUGAAAGACGGUCUUGCUGUCACAUAUAGAUAGAUCCGCGCUGCAUUAGCUAGUUGGUACGGUAACGGCUUACCAAGGCAACGAUGCAUAGCCGAACUGAGAGGCGGAUCGGCCACACUGGAACGUGGACACGGUCCAGGCUCCUACGGGAGGCAGCAGUAGGGAACCUUCCGCAAUGGGCGGAAGCCUGACGGAGCAACGCCGCGUGAGUUAUGAAGGUCUUCGGAUCGUAAAACUCUCUUAUUAGUGAUGAACAUAUGUGUAAGUAACUGUGCACAUCUUGACGGUACCUAAUCAGAAAGCCACGGCUAACUACGUG